AACAGAUUCCCAGAAUAGUCCUAACAUACUGUAUGACUCAUGCAUUGGCUUACGGUUGAUUUGUGUGGGCGCAGUUUUCUACGCAGAGAUGCCUCUGUAAAUCAGCAAAUAGUAACCUAUAUGAGACAGCUGCCUUCCCCUCCUACCCACCCCUCUGCCACCAUGAAAAGGACAAGUUGGCAUUCUAUUACCACCUGCACUGCUAGAAGCUUUGGCACUGAGAUUGCACUUCACAAUUAACAUUUAUUCCCCAAGCUGUUUCGGUAAUUGUUACUUUUCAUUUAUUUAAAUGCAACAUUUAACUACAAUGCAAGAUUCUUUUUUUUAUUGUAGCAGCACGAAGUAUUUUAUUGACUAAGACUCCAGAUAUACAUCACACAGCAGCAUAUAAAGUGAUAUCUGAAUAGAAAACAAUGAAAAAAAAAAAUGAAAAAAAUAACUAAACCCAAAAGAAAAAAAAAAGAGCUAAACGAAAAAUGAUUGUGAAAUUAUAUAAUGCCAUCAUGUAAUUGUAUCCGCUAUAAACUAGAUUUGACGAUUUGCAAUCGUGCAAUUCUUUCAUUAUUGAUUCAGACAAAGUACCCAACAAAAGCACACAACGAAG